UAUGUUACAUAUAUAUAUAUGAUUAACUAAAUAAUGAAGUUUGAUCUUGGCUAUUACUCUUUCAUUGAUAUGUUUAUAUAUAUAAUUAUGUUUUUUAAUUAAAUUAUUUAUUUUAGUAUAAGUUAUUGUAAUUAAUUGUAAUUAUAGUAGGUAUUUUCUAUUUAAUUUUAGUGCCAGCAAAUGCGGUUAUACUAAUAGAUUUGAAGAUUAUUUAAUAAAAGGUUAUUUUAUUUAUUAAUGUAAGUUUUUGUAUAUAAAGGUGAAAUUUUUGUGCAAAAUUUUUUAUUUGAAAGGAGGCCCGAUGGGGCCAUAAUGAAACCAGGAUUAGAUACCCUGUUAUUGGGUUUGUGAAUGUUUUUAUAUUAGUAUGAGAGAUCUUAAAAGUAAAAAGAUUUGGCGGUAUUAUAGUCUUAUUAGAGGAACUUGUUACUUGAUCGAUAAUCCUCGAUUAUCUUACUUUAGUUCAUUCAGUUUGUAUAUCGUCGUUUUUAGAAUAUGUUUAAUAGAUAUUUUCUUAAUAUAUGAUUUUAGAAAUUCAGAUCAAGGUGCAGCUUAUACUAAAGUUGUUAUGAGUUACAAUUAAAUUAUUAAUAACGAAUAUUUUUUGAAAUGAAAUUUUGAAGGUGGAUUUAAUAGUAAUAAGAUUCAUAUAAUUCUUGUGAAUAAGCACUAUUGUAUGUACACAUCGCCCGUCACUCUCAUUAUAAAGAUGAGAAAAGUCGUAACAAAGUAGGUGUAUCGGAAGUUGUACCUAGAAGGUUUUAU
rnacentral:rRNA from 1 species